rnacentral:rRNA from 1 species
CCUACGGGAGGCAGCAGUGGGGAAUAUUGGGCAAUGGGCGAAAGCCUGACCCAGCAACGCCGCGUGAAGGAAGAAGCCUUUCGGGUCGUAAACUUCUUUUGACAGGGAAGAGUAGAAGACGGUACCGGCCGAACAACCCACGGCUACCUAGGGGCCACCACCCGCGGUAUUACGUAGGCGGCAAGCGUAUUCCGGAUUUACUGGGUGUAAAGGGCGGUUAGCCGGGCUGACAGGUCCGAUGGGAAAGCCGGGGGCCCAACCCCCGAACUGCAUUUGAAACUGUUGGGCUUGAGUAUGGGAGAGGCAGGCGGAAUUCCUGGUGUAGCGGUGAAAUGCGUAGAUAGUAGGAGGAACACCGGUGGCGAAGGCGGCCUGCUGGACGACAACUGACGGUGAGGCGCGAAAGCGUGGGGAGCAAACAGGAUUAGAUACCCGUGUAGUC